GAGUUUAUGAAUAUUUAAGAAGUAUAUUAUAUAGUUGUAGUAGGUUUGGUGCGAAGAGUGUUUGGCCCUAGCUCUAGGUUAACUGAAUGUUUAAGUUUAAUACAUGGCACUACAUGGGAUAUCGGGAGGUACAGGCUACAUAAAGUUUAUUUAAAUAGUUUAGGUUAUGGGCCUUUGGGGUUAGCCGUUAGCAUUAUUGCGAGGAUGGUAUAUGUAUUUUCCCUACACCAGUAUAAGAUUUUAGAAAACACGGUAACGUUGAUUUAGGCUGGACAUAACAAAGGAGGUAAAGACAGUGCCAGCACCUGCGGUUAAACUGUUCCUUUUAGUUAAUCUAUACGAAGAGGAGUAAUUAGUUAAAGUAAGAAUAAAACAGUAUAGAACUCCGGUAAAAUGGUAUUUAUAAAGUAUAUCCUUUAAUUCUUGAAACUUAAAACUCGAAAAUCUGUGACAAAGACUGGGAUUAGAGACCCCAUUAUUUAAGACGUAUAUAAAUCUUCGGGGAGUAUGAACAGAUGGUGUUUAAAAACUAAAGGGCUUGGCGGUGCAUUGUAUUCGUCCAGGGGAACUUGACGGUUAAAUCGAUGGUCCUCGAAUUACCUUACCUUUUUAAAUCUUGCUAUACCGCCGUUGACAGUUAGACCUUCUCAUAAAGGUACAAAUUUUUCCGUAGGAAGUGCUAAGUUCACUUAGGAAUUCAGGUAAACGUGGCGGGUAUAAAAAGGGCUUAGUUGAGUUACAAUCUAAUAUGGUCGGAUUUGUAACUGAAAUAGUAUAUAUGAAGAAGGACUUGGUAGUAAGUUGUAGUAAGGGUUUAUAACUGAAUUGUAUAUCGAUGUGCGUACAAACUGCCCGGUGCCCCCGCAUAAUCAAAGUGGGGUAAGCCGUAACAUGGUAAUUUUACUAGAAAGUGGUGUUAUUUAAGUAGGUUAGAAUAUAUUUAGUAAUA
rnacentral:rRNA from 1 species